rnacentral:rRNA from 1 species
UACAGAGGUCCCAAGCGUUGUUCGGAUUCAUUGGGCGUAAAGGGUGCGUAGGUGGCGCCGUAAGUGGGGUGUGAAAUUUCGGAGCUUAACUCCGAAACUGCAUUCGAUACUGCCGUGCUUGAGGACUGGAGAGGAGACUGGAAUUUACGGUGUAGCGGUGAAAUGCGUAGAUAUCGUAAGGAAGACCAGUGGCGAAGGCGGGUCUCUGGACAGUUCCUGACGCUGAGGCACGAAGGUCAGGGGAGCAAACGGG